GGGGAUGAUCCGGUUUCGACGGGGAUGUCGGAUGACGGAUAAGCGAGCCGCAGGCCCUGUACUGCGUAUCAACGGGGAAAAACAAUAACUGACAAUAGCAAUUACGCUUUCGCGGCUUAAUGCCGCGCGUCGGCCCUGACCGCCUGCGGAUCAGGCAACCGGCGUCAUGAUCGCAGGGAACGAGUUAAGCCUAAGCUUUGCAGCUUAAUCCGUAAUUAUGAAGCUACCUGUCCGGCAGUCUGUCCGCGGACGGCCGGAACGGGGAAAUCAAAUCACGGAAUGCGCUCGGAGAAAGUCCUUCGGAUGAAUCUUCGGACAGGGGUUCAACUCCCCUCAUCUCCACUU
rnacentral:tmRNA from 1 species